AGCGCUGGUUCUCGAAGCGGCGACGGAAGCGCUUUGAGAAGACGAGGAAGAGGUUGUCGAGUUGUCAGCGGAUGCCUCUCGGCUGUUCCGGUCGAAAGAACCUUGUUAAAACCGAAAAGUGAUUUUCGGGACAAAGCAGGGGG
rnacentral:ncRNA from 1 species